UAUUUGUAUGAAAGGAUAGAGGGUUUACACUCCCCUUGAUAAGGAUGGAAGGGGUCCCAGUGGCCUUACAACACACAAAUGUUUAAGGUAUUGCCAUCUAUUUGGUGGCAUCUAACAAAGAACAGC